AUUCUUGGUCAUUUAGAGGAAGUAAAAGUCGUAACAAGGUCUCCGUAGGUGAACCUGCGGAGGGAUCAUUACCGAGUUCAUGCCCUUCCGGGUAGAUCUCCCACCCUGUGUUAUUAUUACCUUUGUUGCUUUGGCGGGCCGUCAGAUUUCGGUCAGGCUAUCGGCUCCGGCUGGUAAGCGCCCGCCAGAGGACCCCAAACUCUGAAUAUUAGUGUCGUCUGAGUACUAUAUAAUAGUUAAAACUUUCAACAACGGAUCUCUUGGUUCUGGCAUCGAUGAAGAACGCAGCGAAAUGCGAUAAGUAAUGUGAAUUGCAGAAUUCAGUGAAUCAUCGAAUCUUUGAACGCACAUUGCGCCCCUUGGUAUUCCGAGGGGCAUGCCUGUUCGAGCGUCAUUACAACCCUCAAGCACUGCUUGGUAUUGGGCUUCGCUGCUUACCAGCGGGCCUUAAAAUUAGUGGCGGUGUCAUUAGGCCCUGAGCGUAGUAAAUAUCCUCGCUAUAGGAACUUGGUGAUCGCUGGCCAGCAAAACCCCCGUACUUUCUAAGUUUGACCUCGGAUCAGGUAGGGAUACCCGCUGAACUUAAGCAUAUCAAUAAGCGGAGGAAAAGAAACCAACAGGGAUUGCCUCAGUAACGGCGAGUGAAGCGGCAAUAGCUCAAAUUUGAAAUCUGGCUCUUUUAGAGUCCGAGUUGUAAUUUGCAGAGGGCGCUUUGGCUUUGGCAGCGGUCCAAGUUCCUUGGAACAGGACGUCACAGAGGGUGAGAAUCCCGUACGUGGUCGCUGGCUAUUGCCGUGUAAAGCCCCUUCGACGAGUCGAGUUGUUUGGGAAUGCAGCUCUAAAUGGGAGGUACAUUUCUUCUAAAGCUAAAUAUUGGCCAGAGACCGAUAGCGCACAAGUAGAGUGAUCGAAAGAUGAAAAGAAUC
rnacentral:rRNA from 1 species